CCUACGGGAGGCAGCAGUGAGGAAUAUUGGUCAAUGGGCGAGAGCCUGAACCAGCCAAGUCGCGUGAGGGAGUACUGCCCUAUGGGUUGUAAACCUCUUUUGUCGGGGAGCAAAAGCCGGACGUGUCCGGCUGUGAGCGUACCCGAAGAAAAAACAUCGGCUAACUCCGUGCCCGCCGCCGCGGUAAUACGGAGGAUUCGAGCGUUAUCCGGAUUUAUUUGGUUUAAAGGGUUCGCAGGCGGAAGAUCAAGUCAGCGGUAAAAGUGACGGGCUCAACCUGUUCGAGCCGUUGAAACUGGUUUUCUUGAGUGAGUGAGAAGUAUGCGGAAUGCGUGGGGUAGCGGUGAAAUGCAUAGAUAUCACGCAGAACUCCGAUUGCGAAGGCAGCAUACCGGCGCUCAACUGACGCUCAUGCACGAAAGUGUGGGUAUCGAACAGGAUUAGAUACCCCUGUAGUC
rnacentral:rRNA from 1 species